GCUAAUACCGGAUAAUAUUUUGAACCGCAUGGUUCAAAAGUGAAAGACGGUCUUGCUGUCACUUAUAGAUGGAUCCGCGCUGCAUUAGCUAGUUGGUAAGGUAACGGCUUACCAAGGCAACGAUGCAUAGCCGACCUGAGAGGGUGAUCGGCCACACUGGAACUGAGACACGGUCCAGACUCCUACGGGAGGCAGCAGUAGGGAAUCUUCCGCAAUGGGCGAAAGCCUGACGGAGCAACGCCGCGUGAGUGAUGAAGGUCUUCGGAUCGUAAAACUCUGUUAUUAGGGAAGAACAUAUGUGUAAG
rnacentral:rRNA from 1 species